CCAAUAGCGUAUAUUAAAGUUGUUGCAGUUAAAAAGCUCGUAGUUGAAUUUCGGGAUUGACGUGACGGUCGUGCCUUAAGGGGUAUGAACUGUUGCAGUCAAUUUCUCACCUUCUGGAGAAAUAUGAUGUCCUUAAUUGGGUGUCAUAUGGAACCAGAACUUUUACCUUGAAAAAAUUAGAGUGUUUAAAGCAAGCAUAUUGCUCGAAUACAUUAGCAUGGAAUAAUAAAAUAGGACGGCAUGAUUCUAUUUUGUUGGUUUCUAGGAUCACCGUAAUGAUUAAUAGGGAUAGUUGGGGGCAUUAGUAUUCAAUUGUCAGAGGUGAAAUUCUUGGAUUUAUUGAAGACUAACUACUGCGAAAGCAUUUGCCAAGGAUGUUUUCAUUAAUCAAGAACGAAAGUUAGGGGAUCGAAGACGAUCAGAUACCGUCGUAGUCUUAACCAUAAACUAUGCCGACUAGGAAUCAGACGAUGUUAAUUUUUUAAUGACUCGUUUGGCACCUUACG
rnacentral:rRNA from 1 species